rnacentral:rRNA from 1 species
UACAGAGGGUGCGAGCGUUAAUCGGAAUUACUGGGCGUAAAGCGUGCGUAGACGGUUAUGUAAGUCGGAUGUGAAAGCCCCGGGCUCAACCUGGGAAUGGCAUUCGAGACUGCAUAGCUAGGAUGCGGAAGAGGGAAGUGGAAUUUCCGGUGUAGCGGUGAAAUGCGCAGAUAUCGGGAAGAACACCCGUGGCGAAGGCGGCUCUCUGGGACGGUACUGACGCUGAGACGCGAAAGCGUGGGGAGCGAACAGG